rnacentral:misc_RNA from 1 species
UUGCAACCCAUGGCAUAACG